rnacentral:tRNA from 1 species
GGAUAGAUGCAGGAGUGGUUGAACUGGCACGCCUGGAAAGCGUGUAUACCCCUAAAGGGUAUCGGGGGUUCGAAUCCCCCUCUCUCCG